rnacentral:rRNA from 1 species
ACACAUGCAAGUCGAGCGGAAACGAGUUAUCUGAACCUUCGGGGGACGAUAACGGCGUCGAGCGGCGGACGGGUGAGUAAUGCCUAGGAAAUUGCCCUGAUGUGGGGGAUAACCAUUGGAAACGAUGGCUAAUACCGCAUGAUGCCUACGGGCCAAAGAGGGGGACCUUCGGGCCUCUCGCGUCAGGAUAUGCCUAGGUGGGAUUAGCUAGUUGGUGAGGUAAGGGCUCACCAAGGCGACGAUCCCUAGCUGGUCUGAGAGGAUGAUCAGCCACACUGGAACUGAGACACGGUCCAGACUCCUACGGGAGGCAGCAGUGGGGAAUAUUGCACAAUGGGCGCAAGCCUGAUGCAGCCAUGCCGCGUGUAUGAAGAAGGCCUUCGGGUUGUAAAGCACUUUCAGUCGUGAGGAAGGUAGUGUAGUUAAUAGCUGCAUUAUUUGACGUUAGCGACAGAAGAAGCACCGGCUAACUCCGUGCCAGCAGCCGCGGUAAUACGGAGGGUGCGAGCGUUAAUCGGAAUUACUGGGCGUAAAGCGCAUGCAGGUGGUUUGUUAAGUCAGAUGUGAAAGCCCGGGGCUCAACCUCGGAAUUGCAUUUGAAACUGGCAGACUAGAGUACUGUAGAGGGGGGUAGAAUUUCAGGUGUAGCGGUGAAAUGCGUAGAGAUCUGAAGGAAUACCGGUGGCGAAGGCGGCCCCCUGGACAGAUACUGACACUCAGAUGCGAAAGCGUGGGGAGCAAACAGGAUUAGAUACCCUGGUAGUCCACGCCGUAAACGAUGUCUACUUGGAGGUUGUGGCCUUGAGCCGUGGCUUUCGGAGCUAACGCGUUAAGUAGACCGCCUGGGGAGUACGGUCGCAAGAUUAAAACUCAAAUGAAUUGACGGGGGCCCGCACAAGCGGUGGAGCAUGUGGUUUAAUUCGAUGCAACGCGAAGAACCUUACCUACUCUUGACAUCCAGAGAACUUUCCAGAGAUGGAUUGGUGCCUUCGGGAACUCUGAGACAGGUGCUGCAUGGCUGUCGUCAGCUCGUGUUGUGAAAUGUUGGGUUAAGUCCCGCAACGAGCGCAACCCUUAUCCUUGUUUGCCAGCGAGUAAUGUCGGGAACUCCAGGGAGACUGCCGGUGAUAAACCGGAGGAAGGUGGGGACGACGUCAAGUCAUCAUGGCCCUUACGAGUAGGGCUACACACGUGCUACAAUGGCGCAUACAGAGGGCGGCCAACUUGCGAAAGUGAGCGAAUCCCAAAAAGUGCGUCGUAGUCCGGAUUGGAGUCUGCAACUCGACUCCAUGAAGUCGGAAUCGCUAGUAAUCGUGGAUCAGAAUGCCACGGUGAAUACGUUCCCGGGCCUUGUACACACCGCCCGUCACACCAUGGGAGUGGGCUGCAAAAGAAGUAGGUAGUUUAACCUUCGGGGGGACGCUU